CAGGAUCCCCAUGAAGUGCCAGCAGUUCAGGACGGAGUUACGACACAAAUCAAGGUGUUGGUUGAAGCUCUGCUCCAGGUGCCACUGCCGAGAAACUACUUUGAAAGGAAGCAGAGGUUGAAGAGGUUGCUGAGCUUUUGAUGCAUCAUUCUAAUCACCCAGCGUUUCUAAGAUCUCCAGAUCAGCGGCAGUUCAGCUGAAGAGCAUAAAACCAUGAUGACUGCACAGGUAAGCAACCCGCAUUGUCAGAACUGACCAUCUGCACUAUCCUUGCCCUGUUUAACCAGUUAUUAAUCCACAAGGGAUGACUAUUCCUCCUAUUUCACUGACGCUGUAUUUUUUGAAAAGUUUUUCAUGAGCCAUCCUGAUAGAGGCUACCUGGAAAUCCCCUGGCAGUACGCUGUUGUCCUUUCCGUUCCUCUCACCUGUAUAAGUAGUAAUAACAAAUUACAAGGCCAUACGAGGUGGCUCAGUACAGGCU